UGGGGGAUAUUGCACAAUGGGCGAAAGCCUGCUGCAGCGACGCCGCGUGGGGGAUGAAGGCCUUCGGGUUGUAAACUUCUUUUGCUCUGAACAAGGCAUGCCUUUGGGGUGUGUUGAGUGUAGGGGUUGAUUAGCGCCGGCUAACUACGUGCCAGCAGCCGCGGUAAUACGUAGGGCGCGCGCGUUGUCCGGAAUUAUUGGGCGUAAAGGGCUUGUAGGUGGCUGGUUGCGUCUGUCGUGAAAGCUCAUGGCUUAACUGUGGGUUUGCGGUGGGUACGGGCUGGCUUGAGUGCAGUAGGGGAGGCUGGAAUUCCUGGUGUAGCGGUGGAAUGCGCAGAUAUCAGGAGGAAUACCGGUGGCGAAGGCGGGUCUCUGGGCUGUUACUGACGCUGAGGAGCGAAAGCGUGGGGAGCGAACAGG
rnacentral:rRNA from 1 species